AGUGAACGCUGGCGGUAGGCCUAACACAUGCAAGUCGAACGGCAGCACAGUAAAAGCUUGCUCGUACGGGUGGCGAGUGGCGGACGGGUGAGGAAUACAUCGGAAUCUACUUUUUCGUGGGGGAUAACGUAGGGAAACUUACGCUAAUACCGCAUACGACCUACGGGUGAAAGCAGGGGAUCUUCGGACCUUGCGCGAGUGAAUGAGCCGAUGUCGGAUUAGCUAGUUGGAGGGUGAAAGGCUCACCAAGGCGACGAUGGGUAGCUGAUCUGAGAGGGUGAACAGCCACACUGUCACUGAGACACGGCCCAGACUCCGACAGGAGGACGCAGUGGGGACUAUUGGACAAUGCGCGCAUGCCUGAUCCAGCCAUAUCGCGUGAAUCAAGAAGGACUUCUGCCUCUAAAGCGCUUUUGUCGGGAAAGAAAUACAGCACGUUAAUCCCCCACUGUUCUGACGGUACCCAAAGAAUAAGCACCGGCUAACUUCGUG
rnacentral:rRNA from 1 species